rnacentral:rRNA from 1 species
AGCGCAUAUGGUGGAUGCCUAGGCAGUAAGAGGCGAUGAAGGACGUUGUAGUCUGCGAUAAGCCCCGGCGAGGUGACAAACAACCUUUGACCCGAGGAUUUCCGAAUGGGGAAACCCACUCCGCUUGCGGAGUAUCCUUAACUGAAUACAUAGGUUAAGGAAGCGAACCUGGCGAACUGAAACAUCUAAGUAGCCAGAGGAAAAGAAAUCAACCGAGAUUCCCUGAGUAGCGGCGAGCGAACGGGGACCAGCCCAGUUACCAUCAAUCUAAUGACCCCAGUAAAACGAUCUGGAAAGUUCGGCCAAAGAAGGUGAUAGCCCUGUAUAUGAAAGGCGAUUUAGAGGAGUAACGAAGAGUAGGACGGGGCACGUGAAACCUUGUCUGAACAUGGGGGGACCAUCCUCCAAGGCUAAAUACUACUUACUGACCGAUAGUGAACCAGUACCGUGAGGGAAAGGCGAAAAGAACCCCGGAGAGGGGAGUGAAAUAGAACCUGAAACCGUAUGCGUACAAGCAGUGGGAGCCCCUUCGGGGGUGACUGCGUACCUUUUGUAUAAUGGGUCAGCGAGUUGUUUUCAGUUGCAAGCUUAACCACCUAGGGGAGGCGUAGGGAAACCGAGUCCGAAUAGGGCGAUUCAGUAGCUGGGAGCAGACCCGAAACCAGGCGAUCUAUCCAUGGCCAGGGUGAAGGUAGGGUAAUACCUGCUGGAGGCCCGAACCGGGUAAUGUUGAAAAAUUAUCGGAUGAGCUGUGGAUAGGAGUGAAAGGCUAAUCAAGCCUGGAGAUAGCUGGUUCUCCUCGAAAGCUAUUUAGGUAGCGCCUCGUGUCUAACUCUCGGGGGUAGAGCACUGUUUCGGCUAGGGGGCCAUCCCGGCUUAUCAAACCGAUGCAAACUCCGAAUACCGAGAAGUUCAAUCACGGGAGACACACGGCGGGUGCUAACGUCCGUCGUGGAAAGGGAAACAACCCAGACCGCCAGCUAAGGUCCCGAAGUUAUAGCUAAGUGGGAAACGAAGUGGGAAGGCCUAGACAGCCAGGAGGUUGGCUUAGAAGCAGCCAUCCUUUAAAGAAAGCGUAAUAGCUCACUGGUCUAGUCGGCCCGCGCGGAAGAUUUAACGGGGCUCAAGCUAUACACCGAAGCUGCGGAUGCAUAGAUUCCGCUUUAGCGCAUUCCAAGACCGAUAUGUAGGAGCGGCUUUAGCCGCGAAAUCGGGGCUGUAGCCCCUCCUGCGACACAUCGGGAGUGCUUUAAAGGGAGUCUAUGCAUGGUAGAGGAGCGUUCUGUAAGCCUGUGAAGGUGUGUCGUGAGGCAUGCUGGAGGUAUCAGAAGUGCGAAUGCUGACAUGAGUAACGAUAAUGCGGGUGAAAAACCCGCACGCCGAAAGCCCAAGGUUUCCUGCGCAAUGCUAAUCAGCGCAGGGUGAGUCGGCCCCUAAGGCGAGACCGAAAGGUGUAGUCGAUGGGAAAAAGGUUAAUAUUCCUUUACUUUGUGUUACUGCGAUGGGGGGACGGAGAAGGCUAGAUCUACCGGGUGUUGGUUUACCCGGGGAAAGUAUGUAGGCAGAGAGCUUAGGCAAAUCCGGGCUCUUAAUGUCGAGAUACGAGACGACCGGCCUUUGUGCCGGGAAGUGGUCGGUGCCAUGCUCCCAGGAAAAGCCUCUAAGCUUCAGGUAACACAGAACCGUACCGCAAACCAACACAGGUGGGCAGGGAGAGAAUCCUAAGGCGCUUGAGAGAACUCUGGUGAAGGAACUAGGCAAAUUGGUACCGUAACUUCGGGAGAAGGUACGCCUCUGCUGGUGAUGAGACUUGCUCUCUAAGCUGGUGGGGGUCGAAGUGACCAGGUGGCUGCGACUGUUUACUAAAAACACAGCACUCUGCAAACACGUAAGUGGACGUAUAGGGUGUGACGCCUGCCCGGUGCCGGAAGGUUAAUUGAUUGGGUUAGAGGCUUGCCUCGAAGCUCAUGAUCGAAGCCCCGGUAARCGGCGGCCGUAACUAUAACGGUCCUAAGGUAGCGAAAUUCCUUGUCGGGUAAGUUCCGACCUGCAUGAAAGGUGUAACGAUUGCCCCACUGUCUCAACCAGAGACUCAGCGAAAUUGUGGUUCCGGUGAAGACGCCGGAUACCCGCUACGGGACGGAAAGACCCCGUGCACCUUUACUAUAACUUAGCACUGAAUUUUGGUGCUGCACGCGUAGGAUAGGUGGGAGCCUAUGAAACUCUGCUUUCGGGUGGAGUGGAGGCAACCGUGAAAUACCACCCUUGUAGUAUUAGGAUUCUAACUGAGAUCCGUUAUCCGGAUCCAGGACAAUGUUAGGCGGGUAGUUUGACUGGGGCGGUCGCCUCCUAAAUUGUAACGGAGGCGUACAAAGGUUCCCUCAGCCUGUUUGGAAAUCAGGCGUAGAGCGCAAAGGUAUAAGGGAGCUUGACUGUAAGACCGACAGGUCGAGCAGAUACGAAAGUAGGUCUUAGUGACCCGGUGGUUCCGAGUGGAAGGGCCAUCGAUCAACGGAUAAAAGGUACGCCGGGGAUAACAGACUAAUCUCCCCCAAGAGUCCACAUCGACGGGGAGGUUUGGUACCUCGAUGUCGGCUCAUCGCAUCCUGGGGCUGAAGAAGGUCCCAAGGGUUGGGCUGUUCGCCCAUUAAAGCGGUACGCGAGCUGGGUUCAGAACGUCGUGAGACAGUUCGGUCCCUAUCUGUAGCGGGCGUAGGAGACUUGAGGGGGUCUGCUCAUAGUACGAGAGGACCUGAGUGGACAAGCCUCUAGUGUACCAGUUGUCGCGCCAGCGGCAGCGCUGGGUAGUUAUGCUUGGACGGGAUAACCGCUGAAAGCAUCUAAGCGGGAAGCCCACCCCAAGACUAGGUCUCCCAAAUCAAAAGAUUUCU